rnacentral:rRNA from 1 species
GACGGAGGAUGCAAGUGUUAUCCGGAAUCACUGGGCGUAAAGCGUCUGUAGGUGGUUUAAAAAGUCCACUGUUAAAAAUUGAAGCUUAACUUCAAAGAUGCCGUGGAAACUUUUAAACUUGAGUAUGAUAGGGGUAGAGGGAAUUUCCAGUGGAGCGGUGAAAUGCGUAGAUAUUGGAAAGACCGCCAAUGGCGAAGGCACUCUACUGGGCCAUUACUGACACUGAGAGACGAAAGCUAGGGGAGCGAAUGGG